rnacentral:rRNA from 1 species
AGUGAACGCUGGCGGUAGGCCUAACACAUGCAAGUCGAACGGCAGCACAGUAAGAGCUUGCUCUUACGGGUGGCGAGUGGCGGACGGGUGAGGAAUACAUCGGAAUCUACUUUUUCGUGGGGGAUAACGUAGGGAAACUUACGCUAAUACCGCAUACGACCUACGGGUGAAAGCAGGGGAUCUUCGGACCUUGCGCGAUUGAAUGAGCCGAUGUCGGAUUAGCUAGUUGGCGGGGUAAAGGCCCACCAAGGCGACGAUCCGUAGCUGGUCUGAGAGGAUGAUCAGCCACACUGGAACUGAGACACGGUCCAGACUCCUACGGGAGGCAGCAGUGGGGAAUAUUGGACAAGGGGCGAAAGCCUGAUCCAGCCAUACCGCGUGGGUGAAGAAGGCCUUCGGGUUGUAAAGCCCUUUUGUUGGGAAAGAAAAGCAGCAGGUUAAUACCCCGCUGUUCUGACGGUACCCAAAGAAUAAGCACCGGCUAACUUCGUG